rnacentral:rRNA from 1 species
AGUCAGAGCCCGUUAAUGGGUGAUGGCGUGCCUUUUGUAGAAUGAACCGGCGAGUUACGAUUUGAUGCAAGGUUAAGCAGUAAAUGUGGAGCCGUAGCGAAAGCGAGUCUGAAUAGGGCGUUUAGUAUUUGGUCGUAGACCCGAAACCAGGUGAUCUACCCUUGGUCAGGUUGAAGUUCAGGUAACACUGAAUGGAGGACCGAACCGACUUACGUUGAAAAGUGAGCGGAUGAACUGAGGGUAGCGGAGAAAUUCCAAUCGAACCUGGAGAUAGCUGGUUCUCUCCGAAAUAGCUUUAGGGCUAGCCUCAAGUGAUGAUUAUUGGAGGUAGAGCACUGUUUGGACGAGGGGCCCCUCUCGGGUUACCGAAUUCAGACAAACUCCGAAUGCCAAUUAAUUUAACUUGGGAGUCAGAACAUGGGUGAUAAGGUCCGUGUUCGAAAGGGAAACAGCCCAGACCACCAGCUAAGGUCCCAAAAUAUAUGUUAAGUGGAAAAGGAUGUGGCGUUGCCCAGACAACUAGGAUGUUGGCUUAGAAGCAGCCAUCAUUUAAAGAGUGCGUAAUAGCUCACUAGUCGAGUGACACUGCGCCGAAAAUGUACCGGGGCUAAACAUAUUACCGAAGCUGUGGAUUGUCCUUUGGACAAUGGUAGGAGAGCGUUCUAAGGGCGUUGAAGCAUGAUCGUAAGGACAUGUGGAGCGCUUAGAAGUGAGAAUGCCGGUGUGAGUAGCGAAAGACGGGUGAGAAUCCCGUCCACCGAUUGACUAAGGUUUCCAGAGGAAGGCUCGUCCGCUCUGGGUUAGUCGGGUCCUAAGCUGAGGCCGACAGGCGUAGGCGAUGGAUAACAGGUUGAUAUUCCUGUACCACCUAUAAUCGUUUUAAUCGAUGGGGGGACGCAGUAGGAUAGGCGAAGCGUGCGAUUGGAUUGCACGUCUAAGCAGUAAGGCUGAGUAUUAGGCAAAUCCGGUACUCGUUAAGGCUGAGCUGUGAUGGGGAGAAGACAUUGUGUCUUCGAGUCGUUGAUUUCACACUGCCGAGAAAAGCCUCUAGAUAGAAAAUAGGUGCCCGUACCGCAAACCGACACAGGUAGUCAAGAUGAGAAUUCUAAGGUGAGCGAGCGAACUCUCGUUAAGGAACUCGGCAAAAUGACCCCGUAACUUCGGGAGAAGGGGUGCUCUUUAGGGUUAACGCCCAGAAGAGCCGCAGUGAAUAGGCCCAAGCGACUGUUUAUCAAAAACACAGGUCUCUGCUAAACCGUAAGGUGAUGUAUAGGGGCUGACGCCUGCCCGGUGCUGGAAGGUUAAGAGGAGUGGUUAGCUUCUGCGAAGCUACGAAUCGAAGCCCCAGUAAACGGCGGCCGUAACUAUAACGGUCCUAAGGUAGCGAAAUUCCUUGUCGGGUAAGUUCCGACCCGCACGAAAGGCGUAACGAUUUGGGCACUGUCUCAACGAGAGACUCGGUGAAAUCAUAGUACCUGUGAAGAUGCAGGUUACCCGCGACAGGACGGAAAGACCCCGUGGAGCUUUACUGUAGCCUGAUAUUGAAAUUCGGCACAGCUUGUACAGGAUAGGUAGGAGCCUUUGAAACGUGAGCGCUAGCUUACGUGGAGGCGCUGGUGGGAUACUACCCUAGCUGUGUUGGCUUUCUAACCCGCACCACUUAUCGUGGUGGGAGACAGUGUCAGGCGGGCAGUUUGACUGGGGCGGUCGCCUCCUAAAAGGUAACGGAGGCGCUCAAAGGUUCCCUCAGAAUGGUUGGAAAUCAUUCAUAGAGUGUAAAGGCAUAAGGGAGCUUGACUGCGAGACCUACAAGUCGAGCAGGGUCGAAAGACGGACUUAGUGAUCCGGUGGUUCCGCAUGGAAGGGCCAUCGCUCAACGGAUAAAAGCUACCCCGGGGAUAACAGGCUUAUCUCCCCCAAGAGUUCACAUCGACGGGGAGGUUUGGCACCUCGAUGUCGGCUCAUCGCAUCCUGGGGCUGUAGUCGGUCCCAAGGGUUGGGCUGUUCGCCCAUUAAAGCGGUACGCGAGCUGGGUUCAGAACGUCGUGAGACAGUUCGGUCCCUAUCCGUCGUGGGCGUAGGAAAUUUGAGAGGAGCUGUCCUUAGUACGAGAGGACCGGGAUGGACAUACCUCUGGUGUACCAGUUGUCGUGCCAACGGCAUAGCUGGGUAGCUAUGUGUGGACGGGAUAAGUGCUGAAA